GGGGGGAGGCCGGAUCCUGGUGUGUGUCCAGGCGCCCAGUGCUCCCUGGCCUGUACUUUUGGAUUCGCACUCCCGGCCGCGCAGUCGCCU
rnacentral:pre_miRNA from 1 species